GUACAAUUCGGUUUGCAAUCGUAGCUCUCAAAGACGCUGUCAACUCUGAUCUAAUCAAUCUUGUCCUUUAGAUAAGGGAACGUACAGUCCUCUGUUAGAUAUCAUGCUGACAAUCCUAUGGAAUGGUUAGUCAAGCAUUUAGGUUUCUCGAUCUCUGAUUUAUUUGACAUAGAACUUAAUCAAACACAUCAAUUUAGUUCUGACCGGGCCCGGCACAUAAGUCAAAUCAAAUCAUCGAGCGGCCGAGAUAUCGCUUUUACCUUCUUAGAUAAAAGUUACAUAUAAACUUCGACUUAUAUGCAUUUACUUAUUCAUUAACCAACUAUACACAACAAUACGUUUUAUAACACCAAGUUACUGAUGCAUUUUCAUAUUAUCAAUGUACAAUCAAUUAACAAAUAAUAAAUCAUAUAUCUAGGUUUUAAGACUAUAUGAUAUUAUCGUCUUGCGACCACCUUUUAUAUCGUAUUCCAUAAGGUGAUUCCAGCAAGCGCGGGUUUAUUCCAAUGCUCAAAACUAGUUCAUAAGCACUCAUGAACGUUGCAGCAAUCCUUUGCUAUGUCUAACACCAUUUAGACAUUCUACACACCAAUUCAUGACAAUCUUCAUUCAUAUCUACUCCCAACAUAUGAACGAUUGUGGACCAUUUGAACAAUUCGAUUAUUCCUAAUAAACUCAAUUAUUCUGGAAGUCAAAACAUGCAAAGUGAAACAAUAGCUAAACAAUUAACAUAAGAUAGUAACAUUACUCAUAAAUAAAACUCCUUUAUUUAAUCAUCAAAUGUUAAUUACAUUUAUCUAUUACACGUUUCUAAUACUAUCUAAUCUAUGCUAAUAUCAUCCUUCAGCCCAAUACUCCUAGCAUGCUGCAAGUGCUUAACCCUACUCAGUCCCUUCGUAAGCGGAUCUGCUGGGUUAUCUUCUGAUGAUAUCCUCUUCACUACGAGUUGUCCUUCUUCUACACGAUGUCUAAUGAAGUGAUACUUUCUGUCGAUAUGUCUUGAUCUACCAUGAUCCCUCGGUUCCUUGGUUAAGGCAACCGCGCCUUCGUUAUCACAGAAAAUCUCCAUUGGCUCCUUUAUGGCAGGUACAACUCCAAGAUCACCGAUGAAGUUCUUUAGCCAUAUUGCCUCCUUCGACGCUUCGCUCGCUGCAAUGUACUCUGAUUCGCACGUUGAAUCAGCUACGGUUUCCUGCUUGGAACUCUUCCAUGUCACUGCUCCUCCAUUUAGGGUAAAGACCCAGCCCGACUGCGAACGGUAGUUGUCCCUGUCGGUCUGAAAACUGGCGUCACUAUACCCUCGCACCUUCAAGUCAUCACUCCCUCCGAGGACUAAGAACCAUUCCUUCGUCCUCCGAAGGUACUUAAGGAUAUUCUUCACCGCAAUCCAAUGUGCUUUGCCAGGAUUCCCUUGAUAUCUGCUAACCAUGCUCAAAGCGAAGGCUACAUCAGGGCGAGUACAAGUCAUAGCGUACAUGAUUGAGCCAACUGCGGAAGCGUAUGGUACUCGGCUCAUUUCUGCUAUCUCAGCUUCGGUACUCGGACUUUGAGUCUUACUCAAUUUGGCAUUACUUUGUAUCGGUAGUUCUCCCUUCUUUGAGUUUUCCAUACUAAAACGUUUUAGUACCUUCUCUAAGUAAGUAUUCUGACUAAGUCCAAUUAGUCUCUUACUUCUUUCUCUUACUAUCCUUAUUCCCAAAAUGUAAGAAGCCUCUCCGAGGUCCUUCAUAGCGAAGCACUUCCCGAGCCAGGACUUAACCUCCUGCAGAGUCGGGAUGUCGUUUCCUAUGAGUAAUAUGUCAUCGACAUAUAGAACGAGGAAGCUUACUAUACUCCCACUGGCUUUGACAUAUACACAAGAUUCGUCUUCGCUUCGUACAAAUCCAAACUCUUUGACUUUCUCAUCGAAGCAAAGAUUCCAUCUGCGAGACGCUUGCUUAAGUCCAUAAAUGGACUUCUCAAGCUUACACACUCUAUUCGGAUGCUUCGGAUCCACAAACCCCUCUGGCUGAGCCAUGUAAACAUCCUCAGCCAACUUUCCGUUAAGGAAAGCGGUCUUGACAUCCAUUUGCCAAAUCUCAUAAUCAUGAAAUGCGGCAAUUGCUAGCAUCACUCUAAUAGAUUUAAUCUUCGCAACUGGUGAGAAGGUCUCAUCAUAGUCAACUCCGGGAGUUUGAGUAAAGCCCUUCGCAACCAAUCGCGCUUUAUAUGUGUGUACGUUUCCAUCCACGUCGGUCUUCUUCUUGAAGAUCCAUUUGCACCCAACGGUCUUACGUCCGGGCACAUAAUCAACCAAAUUCCAAACUUGGUUAUCAUACAUGGAUUGGAUCUCGCUAUCCAUUGCCUCUUUCCAUUUUGCAGACUCCGGGCCUGCCAUGGCUUCCUUAUAGCUAUUAGGUUCAUCAAGAUUUACUAGUGUACCAUCACUAAUAUACGUGUCCCCUUCGGUAGUAAUAUGAAAGCCAUAAAACUGGGGAUGAACUCUAACUCUAUCGGAACGUCUAAGAGGUAAGGAUUCGUCAAUCGGUUCAACCGGAGUUUCCUCCUCGGGUUGAGUGCCAGCGGUAGAGGUUCCUUCAUCUAUCGACUCUUGAAUCUCUUCAAGUUCGAUUUGCCUCCCACUGUCUCCUUGGCUUAUGAGUUCUCGCUCUCGGAAAACUCCUCUCCUCGCAACGAAGACAACAUUGUCCUUCGGUCUAUAGAAGAGAUAUCCAAAGGAUGUCUGCGGGUAGCCGAUGAAAAUACAUCGCUCACUUCGAGGUUCAAGCUUGUCGUGAGUAUCUCGUCUUACGAAAGCCUCGCAACCCCAAACCUUGAUAUGUGCCAACGAGGGAGCUUUCCCUGUCCACAUCUCGUGAGGUGUUUUGGCAACCUUCUUAGUAGGGACUCGGUUAAGGAUAUGGGCGGCAGUCUCUAAGGCAUACCCCCAAAAAGAGAUUGGUAGUGAAGCACGACUCAUCAUAGAGCGAACCAUAUCCAAUAAGGUUCGAUUACGCCUUUCUGCCACACCAUUCAACUGCGGUGUCCUAGGAGGCGUCAAUUGUGAAACUAUUCCACACUCCUUGAGAUAAUCGUGGAAUUCAAGACUUAGGUACUCUCCUCCUCGAUCGGAUCGAAGCAUCUUGAUUUUCCUGCCCAAUUGAUUCUCCACUUCAUUCUUGAACUCUUUGAACUUUUCAAAGGUGUCUGACUUUUGCUUGAUUAAGUAGAUAUACCCAUAUCUACUAUAGUCAUCGGUAAAAGUCACAUAGAAGCGGUUCCCAUCCUUCGUGGUUGAUCUAAACGGUCCACAUACAUCGGUAUGUAUUAGGUCCAAUAGACCCUCGCCCCUUUCACAUGUACUCGUGAAGGGUGACUUAGUCAUCUUUCCAAGCAAACAAGACUCGCAUGUGUCAUCUUCCCUAAGGUCGAAUGACUCCAACACUCCAUCCUUUUGGAGUUGGGCUAUGCGUUUCUUGUUGACAUGUCCAAGACGACAAUGCCACAAGGAUGCUUUAUCCAUACUAGUGGAAGAAUCAAUAUUCAAAACAUCAUUUCCUAAGUUAUCAACAAUCAUAACGGUUUCAUAUAUUCCAUUACAUGGUAUAGCUUCAAAGUAAAAGACACCAUUUAGAUAAGCCAAAAUAGAACCAUUCUCAUUAUUAAAAGAAAAUCUAAAUCCUUGUCUAUAUAAACCAUGAAAUGAAAUGAUGUUUCUUGCCAUUUCUGGCGAAUAGCAACAAUUGUUCAAAUCUAAAACUAAACUAUUCCUAAGCACUAAGGAAUACACUCCAAUCUUGGUCACAGGCGACGAUCUUCUGUUCCCCAUGAUUAGAUUGAUCCUUCCUUGCUCCACAUCCCUACUUCUUCUUAGUCCCUGCACAUUAGAACAAAUGUGAUAACCACAACCGGUAUCAAGAACCCAAGAAAUAGCAUGAUUAGAAUCGUUAGAUUUGAUUGUAUAUAUACCUGCGAAAGAUGGCUUGAUCUUUCCUUCUUUGAUUGCUUGCAGGUAAUCCGGGCAGCUUCUCUUCCAAUGUCCUAUCUUGUGGCAGUGGUGGCACUCUGCCUCCUUCGGGUUAGAGCAGGGCUUAGCGGGAUCAACUUUGGUCCCACUAGAAGAGGCACCAUCUCGGGCUUUCACCUUGCGAUAGUUCUUCGAUGAAGCUUUCCUCUUCUUUCCCUUCCCUUGUCCAAUAGCCAAGACAGGAGCAGCGGGCGGAUUGGGAGUAGGUGCAACAGACUUGUCUUUGAAGUUGCUCUCAGCAACCCUCAAGAGACCUUGGAGCUUGCUUAGGGUGACCUCUUCUUUGUUCAUGUGGUAGGUCAUCCUAAAUUGAUUGUACAUCGGAGGCAAAGAGUGAAGCACCAUGUCGAUCGCCAAAUCCUCACCGAAGUCAACAUUUAACUUGCGAAGGCGGUCGACAUACCUUUGCAUCUUUUGCAAGUGCACGGUAAGAGAUUCUCCAUGACCCAUCUUCGCGGAAAUCAUGUUAGUGAAAAUCUCGUACCUCUCUUGUCUCGCGUUUUGGUGGUACCUCUCCAAUAAGUCUUGGUGCAUCUCGUACGGGUACAUGUCCUCGUAGGACUUUUGGAAUUCGGAGUUCAUGGUGGCGAUCAUGAUGCAAUGUACCUUCGUUGCAUCUCGCUCAUGAGUUUCAAAGGCGGUGAUUUCGGCGGGAGUAGCAAUUUCGGGGUUGAUUUUCUCGAGCUUCUCAUCGAGGACAUACUCCUUAUCCUCAUAGCGAGCAAUGGUGCGAAUGUAUCUUAUCCAUUCGCUAAAGUUCGUUCCAUCGAAGGUGACCUUUUGGCAAAGGCUCAUCAACGUGAAAGAACUAGCAGCAGCGUUGUUUGCGUUCGACAUCUACAAUUAGAAAAGGACAAAGAUAGAUUAGAAUAAGAAUCCCUAAUUAUCACCCAAUAAGAAAAUUAGGGCUAGGAUCCAACAAUAACAUUUACAUACUAGAAAAGGGAUGCCGUAAUCUAACAUGCAAAUAAAUUGAAGGUAAGUGAAUGACGAUUCACUAAUUCUCCAUCACGAAACUUAAACUAUUAGUCCUAAGUGUUUUUGAGAAUUCCUAGGUUCGGAUGAGAUUCAUUGAAACUAUUCAAUGGCAUGUUUAAAUCUCGAUAUGCCCCUCUUGUUUGUGACUGGGAUGCCGAGGAUCACAAAGCGGGUGUGAAUUACCAUGCAAAUUCACAUGGUGCCUUCAUUGUAACGAUCACCUAUUCGAUGUGCCGGUAAACCACACACGCUCCAUCGAACUAUGAUAAACAAUGAAUCACCCUUUGCCACCUUCGCUUAGAACCAAUUAGUGUGCCGGUAAACCACACACGCUCCACUAACAUCUUAGCAAGGUGCAAAGUGUAAUUUCAUGGGAUUGCAUCAAUUCACUUUUCCUAAAGUAACUAGGAUUGGGAAAUUUUUGAAAUAUGUGUAGUUAUUUGUAUUUCUUAUUAUACUUUUAAUGAGAGGAUGAGGUUGCCCUAUCCUACCCGUUCGGCUAACGACCCUCCACCAAUCAAGCAAGCGGUGGGUGUGAGUGUACACCCAUUAAGCGCCAUUUUAUAGGCCGCAACCUUAUACCCACCUUAUAGAUCGGCUUCGUGAAUGAGGCCUACUAACGGUAAGACUAGCAUUUAGUUAUACAUAUAUAUAUUAUUCUAGUAAUAUCAUAUUAGUAUAGGGUUGUAUUUUAAAACUUUUAAAAUCUAGGGUUUGAAAUUUAAGUUGUCUAAAUUAAAACUUUUAAUCACAAAAGUAAAUUUCAAAACAUGAGGGUAGGUUUUAAACAUUUAAAACAUGGAGGAUCAAAUAACAAAUAAUUCCAAUUAACAAUUAAUAUCCUAAUUAUCUAUAUUUGAUUUAUUCAAGAUUUCUUUUUAAGAUAAUUACCAAAAUAAUUAAAAUAAUUAAUUAAUUAUCAUAUAAGGAAAUUAAAUAUUUAAUUAGUUGAUAAUUACCUUUAACUAGAUCAAGAUAAUAGUUAUAUUUAUCAGAAAAACGAAUUAAUGUUGAUCUAAUUAGUUUAUGGUAAGUUAAGAUAAGAUAAACACAAAGAAAUCCCGAAUCUGGCCAUUCCUGACGCCUGGACUCGCCGAGUGCACAAAUGGACUCGCCGAGUCAGGCCUACUCGCCGAGUCCACUUUGAGACUCGCCGAGUCCAUGACUCAGAAACCAAAAAAUCGAAUUUUGCAGGUUUGUUUCAGUUAAUCAAGCAACAAUUUAAAGAAAACCAAGCUAGGCUCUGAUACCACUGAUGGGUUUUAGCCAUAAGAACUUUCCUAUGUGCGCAUGCAAAACCCUAAUGCUUGGAUCUAGGCUUUCUAAUAAACAUGCAUUGAAUCCAAGUCUUCUAAUGACUAAUUAGGUUAAAUAACAACAUUGAAACAGAUCUAGAAUCAUACCUUUGAGUUCCUUGUUGAUCUUGAGGUCUUGGAGCUUCUAGAGUCACAAGUGUCACUCCUCUAAUGGCUUACAAACACCAAUAGCAAUAAGAAUGAUUUAGGAGAGAGGAGAGGGGAGGAAUUCGACCAGAGUUCUCUUGCUUUUUCAGAAGUGUCGAAUUCCCUAUGCCAUGGGGUCUAUUUAUACUUGUAGACUCCUUAAGGAUUACAGAUAAGUCCCUAUCAGAUAAUCUUCUCUUAAGGCUAUCCAAAUCCAUUCCUAGAUAACUCUAAUGGACGAUUUUAGCUAUCCUAAUCCUCUUAGAAUUCGUCCAUAGCAUAUCCAAAUGGAUUUACAGUCUAAAGCUUAACUAUCAAACAAUUGACAGUUUAUACCCCUUUAUUUAAUUAAUCUCUUUAAGUCACCAAAUUAAUUCUAAUUAAUUCUAUGACUUAUAUUAAUCAAAUAACAAAUAUAUUAUUCAUUAUAUUAUUCUCAUAAUAUAUUAAUAAUAUUUACUCUCUCUUAAUAAAUCAUCCUAUCAAGUUGCUAUGGUGAAGGCAACCCAAAAGGACCAUGCACAACCGGAUCAAAUACUUGCCUAAUAUAGUUACAGCCUUAGACACUAUUCCAACAGUCUCCCACUUGGAUAAGUCUAGUAACUAUACAAGUACAAUUCGGUUUGCAAUCGUAGCUCUCAAAGACGCUGUCAACUCUGAUCUAAUCAAUCUUGUCCUUUAGAUAAGGGAACGUACAGUCCUCUGUUAGAUAUCAUGCUGACAAUCCUAUGGAAUGGUUAGUCAAGCAUUUAGGUUUCUCGAUCUCUGAUUUAUUUGACAUAGAACUUAAUCGAACACAUCAAUUCAGUUCUGACCGGGCCCGGCACAUAAGUCAAAUCAAAUCAUCGAGCGGCCGAGAUAUCGCUUUUACCUUCUUAGAUAAAAGUUACAGAUAAACUUCGACUUAUAUGCAUUUACUUAUUCAUUUACCAACUAUACACAACAAUACGUUUUAUAACACCAAGUUACUGAUGCGUUUUCGUAUUAUCAAUGUACAAUCAAUUAACAAAUAAUAAACCAUAUAUCUAGGUUUUAAGACUAUAUGAUAUUAUCGUCUUGCGAUCACCUUUUAUAUCGUAUUCCAUAAGGUGAUUCCAGCAAGCGCGGGUUUAUUCCAAUGCUCAAAACUAGUUCAUAAGCACUCAUGAACGUUGCAGCAAUCCUUUGCUAUGUCUAACACCAUUUAGACAUUCUACACACCAAUUCAUGACAAUCUUCAUUCAUAUCUACUCCCAACAUAUGAACGAUUGUGGACCAUUUGAACAAUUCGAUUAUUCCUAAUAAACUCAAUUAUUCUGGAAGUCAAAACAUGCAAAGUGAAACAAUAGCUAAACAAUUAACAUAAGAUAGUAACAUUACUCAUAA
rnacentral:lncRNA from 1 species